rnacentral:lncRNA from 1 species
UGUUAAAGUUUACAUGAUAAGCAUGCAUGGGGAUAAUGCUAAGUAAUGGUAUGAUAAGCAUGAUGUAGAAAUAAUAAAUACAAGCAUGUGGCUAAUGCUAAGAUAUACUUGAUGAUCAUGUUGUAGAGAUACUAAUGUUAAGAAAUGAAAAAGUGCAUAUGGACAAUCUAUAUACAUUAGAUCGAGUGGCAUUAAACCUAGAGUCAUGGACAUAGGUUGGACAUAGAGGAUAUGAAUCUAGUGCCAAAGAAUAUAGGUUGGACAUCAAGUGGCAUUCAACCUAGUGUAUUGAACAUAGGUUGAACAAGUAUAGUGUGAACCUAGUGUCAUGAACCUAGCAAACACUUGUGGCAUUGAGCAUAUAUAUUUGUAUCAUUCAUACAUAAUAGGGCUAAGUACAUGUGAACCUUGGUUACUUUCAAUGACAUGUUUCUAACGUAGUUGAACAUAGAGAAAGAUAGAACCAUAAUGGACAUGUAUGUUAGAACCCUAUUAUUGUGUGAAUGUGAGAGUUGGACUUGGACAUUAGUAAACAAAGGCAACAUUGACAAUAGAGACAUUGAUAUGCAUAGAGGAUAUAGUUGUUAAACAUAGUUUAACCAAGAGUGGCAUUGGACCAUUUGACAUAGAGUAGCAUGAUUAAAUAGGUAGAAACCUAUUGUGACAUUGGCAUUGUGACUAGUGGCU